rnacentral:rRNA from 1 species
UACGUAGGGACCAAGCGUUGUUCGGAUUACUGGGCGUAAGGGCGCGUAGGCGGCUUGUCAAGUCACUUGUGAAAUCUCUGGGCUUAACCCAGAACGGCCAAGUGAAACUGACAUGCUAGAGUGCAGAAGGGGCAAUCGGAAUUCUUGGUGUAGCGGUGAAAUGCGUAGAUAUCAAGAGGAACACCUGAGGUGAAGACGGGUUGCUGGGCUGACACUGACGCUGAGGCGCGAAAGCCAGGGGAGCAAACGGG